UACGUAGGGUGCGAGCGUUGUCCGGAAUUAUUGGGCGUAAAGAGCUUGUAGGCGGUUUGUUGCGUCUGUUGUGAAAAUCCGGGGCUCAACCCCGGACUUGCAGUGGGUACGGGCAGACUAGAGUGUGGUAGGGGAGACUGGAAUUCCUGGUGUAGCGGUGAAAUGCGCAGAUAUCAGGAGGAACACCGAUGGCGAAGGCAGGUCUCUGGGCCACUACUGACGCUGAGAAGCGAAAGCAUGGGGAGCGAGCAGG
rnacentral:rRNA from 1 species